rfam:Botryotinia fuckeliana T4 unplaced genomic scaffold BcT4_SuperSuperContig_M4_V3_C__V4, whole genome shotgun sequence.
UCCCUCGUGGCGCAAUUGGCUAGCGCGUUCGACUGUUAUCUGUAACAAGUCUCGUGAUCGAGAGGUUGGUGGUUCGAGCCCACCCGAGGGAG